rnacentral:RNase_P_RNA from 1 species
AAAUACACCGCCUGGCCGCAGCGGCAACGCUGCCCGCCCGGUAAGGUUGAAAUGGUGGGGUAAGAGCCCACCGCGCCGGUGGUAACAGCGGCGGCAAGGUAAACCCCAUUCGAAGCAAGGCCACAUAGGGAAACGAUGGCGCGCAAGCGCUGACAGGGCGGCCCGUCCGAUGUUUCCGGGUAGACCGCUAAAGGCGCGUGGUAACACGCUGCCGUAGAUGAAUGAUCAUCACCGCCAACGAGGCAACUCGCGCGCGGUACAAAACUCGGCUUACGCCCCGAUCGAACCA